GAUGAACGCUGGCGGCGUGCCUAACACAUGCAAGUCGAGCGAACAGACGAGGAGCUUGCUCCUCUGACGUUAGCGGCGGACGGGUGAGUAACACGUGGAUAACCUACCUAUAAGACUGGGAUCACUUCGGGAAACCGGAGCUAAUACCGGAUAAUAUAUUGAACCGCAUGGUUCAAUAGUGAAAGACGGUUUUGCUGUCACUUAUAGAUGGAUCCGCGCCGCAUUAGCUAGUUGGUAGGGUAACGGCUUACCAAGGCAACGAUGCGUAGCCGACCUGAGAGGGGGGUAGGCCACACUGGAACUGAGACACGGUCCAGGCGCCUACGGGAGGCAGCAGUAGGGAAUGUUCCGCAAUGGGCGGAAGCCUGACGGAGCAACGGCGCGUGAGUGAUAAAGGUCUUCGGAUCGGAAAACUCUGUUAUUAGGGAAGAACAGAUGUGUAAGUAACUAUGCGCGUCUUGACGGUACCUAAUCAAAAAGCCACGGCUAACUACGUG
rnacentral:rRNA from 1 species